CCUACGGGUGGCUGCAGUGAGGAAUAUUGGUCAAUGGACGCAAGUCUGAACCAGCCAUGCCGCGUGCAGGAAGACGGCUCUAUGAGUUGUAAACUGCUUUUGUACGAGGGUAAACGCAGAUACGCGUAUCUGUCUGAAAGUAUCGUACGAAUAAGGAUCGGCUAAGUCCGUGCCAGCAGCCGCGGUAAUACGGAGGAUUCAAGCGUUAUCCGGAUUUAUUGGGUUUAAAGGGUGCGUAGGCGGUAGGAUAAGUUAGAGGUGAAAUCCCGGGGCUCAACUUCGGAAUUGCGGCGGGUACUGGCCGGCUAGAGAGUGGGUGCGGUAGGCGGAAUGUAUGGUGUAGCGGUGAAAUGCUUAGAGAUCAUAAAGAACACCGAUUGCGAAGGCAGCUUAC
rnacentral:rRNA from 1 species